rfam:Rattus norvegicus chromosome 6, whole genome shotgun sequence.
GGGGAUUUAGCUCAGUGGUAGAGCACUUGCCUAGCAAGCGCAAGGCCCUGGGUUCAGUCCCCA